rnacentral:rRNA from 1 species
CACGUAGGGGGCGAGCGUUGUCCGGAAUCAUUGGGCGUAAAGAGCGUGUAGGCGGCUUGGCAAGUCUGACGUGAAAGCCCGCGGCUCAACCGCGGAUUGUCGUUGGAAACUGCCUCGCUAGAGUCCGGAAGAGGAGAGCGGAAUUCCUGGUGUAGCGGUGGAAUGCGCAGAUAUCAGGAGGAACACCGAUGGCGAAGGCAGCUCGCCUGGGAGCGGUGC